AACGCGAAGAACCUUACCAGGUCUUGACAUCCCGAUGACCGCUUCAGAGAUGGAGCUUCUCUUCGGAGCAUUGGAGACAGGUGGUGCAUGGUUGUCGUCAGCUCGUGUCGUGAGAUGUUGGGUUAAGUCCCGCAACGAGCGCAACCCCUAUGUUCAGUUGUAUUUCUCUGAACAGACUGCCCUGGUAACAGGGAGGAAGGAGGGGAUGAUGUCAGGUCAGUAUUUCCCUUACGCCUUGGGCUACAAACACGCUACAAUGGCCGGUACAAAGGGCAGCCAAGUCGCGAGACGGAGCAAAUCCCAUCAAAACCGGUCUCAGUUCGGAUAGCAGGCUGAAACUCGCCUGCUUGAAGCUGGAAUCGCUAGUAAUGGUAGGUCAGCACACUACCGUGAAUACGUUCCCGGGUCUUGUACACACCG
rnacentral:rRNA from 1 species